AAACUCUACAACAAAUUUCAACAAUCCGAACCGUCUAUUUUGUAAGUCUGGAUUCAUAGAUCAUACUUUGAAAAAAUUCAAUUCAAUCCUAAAUCAUUUGCUUAUUGAAUUGUCACGGUAAAAUUUCAAUGUUUUCUUAAAACAAAGUUUUCGUCAAUUUCUUUGAACUCAAUUAGGUGCCUCAAAUAUUUUCGAUUUGGCUAAUAUUUUGCAAGGAUAAUCUAUGAAGUGCAACUUAAAAAAUAGACGGUUGCUUCACAACUAAUGCCCAUUUUUAUAUAAAAAUGGGAAUCCCUUUCCUUAAAGGCCUCCAUAAAAGAAAUUGUAUCGCAAACCCAUCCACCACUUGAGUUUCAAAUCUUUACUACAAGAUUCCUCAUAGUGAAAGAUGAAUAACUUUGACAACUAGUGACUUUUUUUCGAUUGCGCAUAUUGCUUUAGGAAUCUUUUAGUGUUUAAAAGGUUUUCUAUCUUUGGAGUUUUCGCUAAUUAGAUUCUUGAGAAAACAUAGAUCAAAAUUCAAUGAAUUCUUUAUAUUAACGUGACUGCUAGUACAGAAUUAGUCGAUGUUUAUUCCUCAAAUUAUUGCUUCUUUAUGUUUUUUUUCAAAGUAUAAAAUCAUCAAAAGGAUACUAAAAACUUUUGAAUCCUCCAUCCCUUCACAUUUCAUGGAAAUUAUCCCAGGGUCGACGUGUUCGUUCAAUCCUCUCAUCCUAGUGACCUGACGGCAUGCGAGGGAGAUUUCUAAUCCCUUCCAUUAGGGGAAGGUUCACGUGAGACCCACAAAAACAUUGUUGGGGCAUGGUGAUGAAUUAUGAUGAUGCUGUCUGCGUUGUCAUGCCACAAAAACAUGUCAAAUAAUCAUGUAAAUAAAUUGUAUAAUGUUUAGCAGAAACAAAAGGAAAUAAAUAAUGAUGUAAUCUAAUCGUGUAUGCAAACUUUGGAGAAUAUCAAUUAAUACGUGCUCGAAUUAUAAUUCAGAUUUUUUAUUUUUUUAACAUGGGCAGGAUCUUGCAUACUAGUCCUUCUCUCCAUGCAUUCUCAAUAUUACAUGAAGUGACAACAUAUUUUUUACUCAUGGGUCAAACACAACCCUAAAGUAGAGUUGGUGACCUCUAAAAAUGUGUUUGUAGAAGUUCAAAUUUGAGUUGAAAGUUAUAAAUCUUUGCUUGCUUUUCACGAGUUGAGUUAAGCUAGUUCAAAAAUAAAAGUGCAAUAUAGUGUUGGAGUACCGAGAGGACCUUGAUUAGGCCCAACUUCAUUUAUGUGGUUUUGAAGAUCAACUUAAAAGCAAUGCCCAGCCUAGUAUUUAACUCAAUAUUAUUGGCCCAUGAAAUGACCAAAGAGAUGGAGUGACUAAACUCAUAUUUAGGUCAAAAACCCUUUAUCCAAUCCAAUGCAUGAACAACCACGGGUGACUCAGUGGUUGAUGAUGAAUUUUAAGCCUGUAUUUCAC
rnacentral:lncRNA from 1 species